UCUCCCACGUGCAAAGAAAGCGGAGUCCGUGUGUGCCAGCUUCUCCCUCAACCUGCCAACCUACCAGCUCACAGACGACUUCUCCAGGCCCCCUGUCCCUCACUCUCCCAACCAAUGGCCUUAACUGCCAGGUUCUGCUCCCCUGGUUUUUACUCGCCUCAGCGGGAAGCAGGCUGGAGCGCCCCUCCUUUGUGAAACUCCUGCACCGACCAGGCUGGCUUCCUCCUUCCCCUCUCCUUCUCCUCCGUCAGCUCCUCUUCCUGUGUCUGGGGCGUUAGGCCCGAGGGACACCAGGAGCUCAGAGGAGGUAUCUUAAGCUGUUCUAACUGAACACACUCAAAUGGAAGGGACAGUCUGGGAGAGAAAAAGGGACAGGGACUGAUCCGUCCUCUGGAGGCACCGACACUUGGGUGUGCACGCACUGGAGCUCACAUGGUGCAGAAAGCUCCCCGCCAGUUUCCUCAGGUGCCUUCAGUCAAGGCAGCCUGGGGGGUGGGGGCGGACCUCGUCCAGAGCGCAUGCGCGGGCCAUCUGCGCUAGAGCUGCACCUGCGCAACAGGCAGCACGUGCCAACUAGGGUAUGUAAGGGCGGGAGCCAGGACACCGGGUGCCAGAGACUCUGCAGGUCACGGAGCCUAGAAAAUGAACUCCUCUUCAGAAAACAAUGCACAUUUUGAGGGCGGUAACGCCAGAACCUUUUCUUGUGUGCAUGCCGUGGGCCAGCAGACUUACCCGAGUCCUUGGUACCAGAAUCCCAGCUAUAAUCCGUUCUGUGUUCCUGGGGCAGGUUUCAGAAAUGGAAGUCUGUAUUUCCCAUAUUCAGUGAUACUCAUUGAGUCUCCUGGCUUCCUCAUCCCGUAGUCCCCAUUGCCCACUGCCCUUAACCAAAGACCUAUGUUUUGUAACACAGCAUAGUUCCAGCAGUGUAACACAGUCCAGCACAGUGUAGCAGUGUGCUGUUCCACAGCACAGUUCCAGCAGUGUAGAAAAUGAAGAUGAAGGAGACUCAGACUGAACCUCAUCAGGCUGAAAACAAGUCUCAGAAACAAGACACCCACUCAGAAGGUGAUAUGGUGACCAGUAUCCCAACUUCUAAUAGUGACAUAGAAACUGAAAACAUUCCUCAAGCAACAGAUGGAGUUUUGUCUUCUGUUGCCCAGAAGCAGCAGCUACAUGGUGAGAACCCUUCUCCUAACACCAUAAAUAGAACACCACCUCAAGUAAACUAUGCAUGUGAGAAAGGGAAAGUGGGGCUAGAGCAAUGCAAAGGAUCCUCUGUAACACAGCUGUGGGAGACUUUGAAGGAAACUAUCCAUUUGUAUGACCUGGCUUAUGGUAAAGCCAUGCCAGACAUCAUGGUGCAGCAUUGUAGGAUUUCACAGAGUUCUCGGGAGAGAAGUGUGCUUCAUAACUGUCACGAAGGUACAGAUGGCAUUAUGUGUAAAGACAAAGAAAGCACUCUGUGUUUGGAACAGUGUCAUGGUGUAAGAAAGUGAUGAGGUGGUAAAGUUGGGUUCCAUCAUGGACAUGAACUUGGGUAAAGAAAAAGGCUAUGCAGCUGUUCUCCAAUUCCUGUCCUCUCUAGAUGAAGCAAAAGACAGAGACGAAAUCCAGGAUACUCUGAAUUCCAGUCUGUGCCAGUCUUCUGGAGAUGGCGAUAAGCUCAGCAGGAAAGGCCAGUCUGCUCCAGCAAUAAAGCCAUUGAGGACCUGAGCCUAGAGUUCAAAACCUGGAGUCCUAUUCACUUUGGGGAAAGCAUGCCAGACAAUGGUAGUGGGGGCCGUGGCUUCCCUGUGAAAGUGGGCAAAGGUGAAGUUGUAGAGAGCAACAGCUACCCUGAGAAUUAUGUCCUCCCCCCUACCUCCCUCGCCCAGUUCAGCCAUGUUGAUGAAGGCAUUCAGUGUGAUGUGAGCCAGUGGCAGGAUGCAGAGCAUGAGAAAUCUCCUGAGUCCUCAUCAGAGAGCAAAAAGACAACAGAAGAAGAAUUCAUAUGUGGAGAACUGGAAGAGGUGGUGGAGAGAAGAGGGACAGCUGCUCAAAGCAUGUGUCUAGCUAUGCCUGGUUGGUCCAGAUGAAUAGCAGGCUGGUAGAUGAAGGGAUUCAGUGUGAUAGGAGCUGGUGGCAGGAUGCACAGCUGGAGAGAUCCCUUGAGCAAUGAUGGAAGAGUCAUUUCCAGAUUGCAAAACUAAGGGAUCAUGGAGAAGGACCAUCAGGAAUGGGAGACUGAACACAGAUGAAGAAGAAAUGACCAUGAAUGAUGAGAUUGAGGAGGAGGAUCAUGAGAACUUCAAAAAGUGUGCAAAGAUUUAAAAAACUGAAAGGCAGGAAGCAGAAGUUCCUGAGAAACUUCUCAAGUGGGAACACAGUCUAUUUAUUGAAGAAAAAUGGUACCUUGAACACUGUACUUCCCAACGAUUUAGAAGACUAUGAUUUGGAAGAGGAAGCUGAAGAUGAAAUGUAUCAGAUAGAAUGCCUCUUGGAAGAAGUUAGUCCACUGAGCUGUGAGAUGUCUUCCAAAGGGAGGAUUAAUCAUGAGGUUGGCAGGGUUAUCAGGAUGCCAGCUGAGUGCUCUCUUCCUCCCCAACUUAUUGUGUGGAGCACCAGAGAAAAGGACAGGUUAAAUCUUGGAGAAUACGAGAACAUCCCUGUGGUGUGCAAAGUGACAGGACAGGAUGGCAGGUUCCGAGGGGAACAUAACCAUGGCCAUGCAGGAGGGAUUGGAGUCCAAGAGAGCCUCUCCCAAGCCCUGAAAAUGUAAGUGACUAAUGGACUCAUCCCAUUUUGUUGUUGUCUGUGAUGGUUCCAUACUGGGUCCUGGAUGCAAAGGCAGCCAUAGAUCAAUAGUAUUUCUUCAGGGCGCCUGGGUGGCUCAAUGGGUU